rnacentral:rRNA from 1 species
UACGAAGGGGGCUAGCGUUGUUCGGAAUCACUGGGCGUAAAGGGCGCGUAGGCGGCUGUUCAAGUCGGGGGUGAAAUCCCGUGGCUCAACCACGGAAUGGCCUUCGAUACUGGACGGCUCGAGACCGGAAGAGGUGAGUGGAACUGCGAGUGUAGAGGUGAAAUUCGUAGAUAUUCGCAAGAACACCAGUGGCGAAGGCGGCUCACUGGCCCGGUACUGACGCUGAGGU